CAAGUCGAACGCGAAAGUCCCCUUCGGGGGGCAAGUAGAGUGGCGCACGGGUGAGUAACACGUAGGUAAUCUACCUUUGGAUUGGGAAUAACCACCGGAAACGGUGGCUAAUACCGAAUAAUGCAGCGGCACCUAAUGGUGACAGUUGUUAAAGCGGGGGAUCGCAAGACCUCGCGUCUGAAGAGGAGCCUGCGGCAGAUUAGCUAGUUGGUAAGGUAACGGCUUACCAAGGCGAUGAUCUGUAGCCGGCCUGAGAGGGCGGUCGGCCACACUGACACUGACAUACGGGUCAGACUCCUACGGGAGGCAGCAGUCGGGAAUUUUGGGCAAUGGGCGAAAGCCUGACCCAGCAACGCCGCGUGAAGGAUGAAAUCCUUCGGGAUGUAAACUUCGCAAGAACGGGAAGAAUAAGUAAGGGUUAAUAUCUCUUACGAUGACGGUACUGUUUGUAAGCUCCGGCUAACUCCGUGCCAGCAGCCGCGGUAAUACGGGGGGAGCAAGCGUUGUUCGGAUUUACUGGGCGUAAAGGGCGCGUAGGCGGCCACCGCAAGUCGACUGUGAAAUCUCCGGGCUUAACCCGGAAAGGUCAGCCGAUACUGCGGGGCUAGAGUGCAGAAGGGGCAACUGGAAUUCUCGGUGUAGCGGUGAAAUGCGUAGAUAUCGAGAGGAACACCUGCGGCGAAGGCGGGUUGCUGGGCUGACACUGACGCUGAGGCGCGAAAGCUAGGGGAGCGAACGGGAUUAGAUACCCCGGUAGUCCUAGCCUUAAACGAUGAAUGCUUGGUGUCUGGGGUUUUAUAGUCCCCGGGUGCC
rnacentral:rRNA from 1 species